rnacentral:rRNA from 1 species
CUAAAACUUACUACCGAAGCUACGGCAUCAGUAAUGAUGGGUAGGGGAGCUUCCCAUACGGGUUGAAGCAUGACCGUAAGGACAUGUGGACAGUAGGGGAGUGAGAAUGUUGGCAUGAGUAGCGAGAGGUGGGUGAGAAUCCCACAGGCCGUAAACCCAAGGUUUCCAGGGGAAGGUUCGUCCGCCCUGGGUUAGUCGGGACCUAAGCUGAGGCCGAAAGGCG